ACGGAUUAACACACUGCACGGUAGGUAACAACCAUUAUAAACAUCUUACAUAUUAUUCAUUAUGAUCUUCAAAAAAAUUAAAAUCACAAUCUAGCCUGAUAGAUUCCUACCUAUAAAUGAUGGGGAAAAAAUAGUUAUGUCCCAAUGAUUCUUUUAAAAAUUCCAUAUAUAGAAGUAAUUUUCAAUAUUGUGAACUGGGUGUUAAAAAGUCAACUAAAAAUAUAAAUUUAAAGGUUUUUAUAUGGGAAAACACAGAAAACAGGAAAGAAUGCAAUAAAAUAUAAGAGAAGAAAAGAAAAGAAAAAAACCUUAUCUGCCCCGAUUCCCUUCCUCUUAACAAGAAUUGCCAUAGUUGAAUGUGAACAACUCGAUUGGUGUGAAAACACUUCUUUGAUCCGUCGUCUUAGGGCCGAGUAGCGAUCCAUUAAUGAAAGGCCCAGAUGUAGCCUUUGUGUGCGGAGCAAAUAUUUGAUGUUAUGGUCUCUACAUAUGAAAACUAUAUCCUAUUAUAUGGUUCAAAACAAUCAAGAGUAUUCAAAGCCUUUUUUUUUUUACAAUGAAAUACUUAAAAGCUGUAAAUUCUAAUAAGUCACUCACUUAAUU
rnacentral:lncRNA from 1 species